AAAAAUAACCAUCGGAAUACAUAAGUACAGUCAAAAAUACAAAAACUAAAUUGUAUUUACAUUGAAAAAUACAAAAUACACUCAAAUUUUAGUGUAUUUGCACAAAAUACAAUAUAUGAGUGUCUACGUGACUCAAUAGCAAUGAAAAGAAGAAAAUUCAUCCGAGAUGACGUCUUCCGGCCAAACAAAUCACCGCCCUCCGUCGUCUCCACACAUCCCCACCCUCUGUCGUCUCUGCAAAUCACAACCAUCGAACCAGACCCAUCACCACCCUAUAUCAAAUCUGAAAUCACGCAGUUGCUACCCGUCAGCUGGAUCUAAAUAUAACGUCGCAUCUGCAUGGCUGCCUUGCUGAAGCUGGAUCUCAACUCUGACCCAAAACCCCCCAAAACCACGGCUAGAUCGGUUCGGAUCUCUCAGUAUCGAACCAAAACUUCUCCAAAUUUCCAACUGUAGAUAUUAUACAAAAUAUUCAAUGUGUUUCUCUUGGAAGUCUAAACCAUAUGGUUUGAGAUCUCGAAAAACACAAACUCACAAAGGUACAUUCUUGCUAGUACAUAAUAGAGAUGGAGGAAUUCACUGUCGAGGGCGAAUAGAGAGGAAAAAAAUAAGAAAAAGGAGAGAGAGU
rnacentral:lncRNA from 1 species